rnacentral:lncRNA from 1 species
GUUUAGUGGACCUUCUGCUGUAAAAGUUUUCCCAUCCCUUUCUCUCUACCAUUUUCUAUGGUGUGUAGUUCAUUUACCUUCACCUUAAAUUAAACUAUUUUUUGGGUUCUUUUUACUAACUUUAGAAGUCUUUGAGCUGAUGUACUUUAAUAGAUUAGAUUAUUGUUAUAUUAUCUAUAGAUGACAGUGGACUGACUUCUUUCCUAAGAUGUUGACCUCCUGUCUUGUGUCUUGUUGUACUUGUCAAAAUUAUCCCAUUUUUACAGGCAAGUGAAGUGAGUUACUCAGUAUAUCAGACACAGUAAGGGGCAGAGCGGAAAGUAAAAAUUCCAUCUUGUUUUAGUUCAGUUUCUCUUUGGAAUAGGUAGCUUAACUACCAACCCAAAUGCACCACUCCAUCCACUUGCAUCUUCCCCAAAAGAAAAUUGACAUUUGCUAUGCUUACCACACAUUUCU